rnacentral:rRNA from 1 species
GUCCACGCCAUAAACGAUGGGAACUAGGUGUCGGGAGAUUCGAUCCUUCCGGUGCCGACGCUAACGCAUUAAGUUCCCCGCCUGGGGAGUACGAUCGCAAGGUUGAAACUCAAAGGAAUUGACGGGGCCCGCACAAGCGGUGGAGCAUGUGGUUCAAUUCGAUGCAACGCGAAGAACCUUACCUGGCCUAGAAAUGCAACUGCAAAUCCGAUGAAAAGUCGGACUCCUUCGAGGGUGUUGCAAAAGGUGCUGCAUGGCUGUCGU